UACAGAGGUGGCAAGCGUUGUUCGGAAUUACUGGGCGUAAAGGGCGCGUAGGCGGCCUUCUAAGUCAGGGGUGAAAUCCUGGAGCUCAACUCCAGAACUGCCUUUGAUACUGGGAAGCUUGAGUCCGGAAGAGGUGAGUGGAACUCCGAGUGUAGAGGUGAAAUUCGUAGAUAUUCGCAAGAACACCAGUGGCGAAGGCGGCUCACUGGCCCGGUACUGACGCUGAGGUGCGAAAGCG
rnacentral:rRNA from 1 species